rnacentral:rRNA from 1 species
AUUGAACGCUGGCGGAAUGCUAACNACAUGCAAGUCGAGCGGGGGUAGCAAUACUUCAGCGGCGGACGGGUGAGGAAUACAUAGGAAUCUGCCUUUAGGUGGGGGAUAGCUAGGGGAAACUCUGGGUAAUACCGCAUGAUCUCGCAAGAGCAAAGGGGCGCAAGUCUCGCCUUUAGAGGAGCCUAUGUCUGAUUAGCUAGUUGGCGGUGUAAUAGACCACCAAGGCAAUGAUCAGUAACUGGUCUGAGAGGACGAUCAGUCACAUCGGAACUGAGACACGGUCCGAACUCCUACGGGAGGCAGCAGUGGGGAAUAUUGGACAAUGGGCGAAAGCCUGAUCCAGCAAUUCCGCGUGUGUGAAGAAGGCCUUCGGGUUGUAAAGCACUUUAGUGGGGGAAGAAACAGCUUGGCCACACCAAGCCUUGACGGUACCCCAAGAAUAAGCACCGGCUAACUCUGUGCCAGCAGCCGCGGUAAUACAGAGGGUGCAAGCGUUAAUCGGAUUUACUGGGCGUAAAGGGUGCGUAGGUGGCUAAUUAAGUCGGAUGUGAAAGCCCGGGGCUCAACCUCGGAAUUGCAUUCGAUACUGAGUGGCUAGAGUUCGGUAGAGGGCGGCGGAAUUUCCGGUGUAGCGGUGAAAUGCGUAGAUAUCGGAAGGAACAUCAAUGGCGAAGGCAGCCGCCUGGGCCUGGACUGACACUGAGGCACGAAAGCGUGGGUAG